rnacentral:rRNA from 1 species
AGAGUUUGAUCCUGGCUCAGGACGAACGCUGGCGGCGUGCUUAACACAUGCAAGUCGAGCGAUGAAAUCCCUUCGGGGAUGGAUUAGCGGCGGACGGGUGAGUAACACGUGGGCAACCUGCCUCAAAGAGGGGGAUAGCCUCCCGAAAGGGAGAUUAAUACCGCAUAAUAUUAGAGAGUCACAUGACUUUUUAAUCAAAG